rnacentral:misc_RNA from 1 species
AGGCGAGCUGAUUCAUAAAUAGUUGCCAACAGCAAGACCAUCUUAUCAACGUUUUCAGCAUCUUUCGUUGACCCUUGCCUUACGAUAAUAAUCUCUGAGUAUAUCUUAUCCUGUAUCUCUGGAUUUGUGACAAGCCUCUCCAAGAUAUUAGUCACCAAACCUGCAGUGGCAAUGCAUCCAUGAAACAUCAUACCCAUAAUAUUCCCACACGGCUCUUCCCUUAAAUUAUGAUGGCCAUCAAUCUCCCUUGAGAAUUUAUCUUGCAACACGUCACCAGAUGUUGGCAUGCCAGAUGCAGCUUUCAUCCCAUAUUUGACAGUUUCAUCAUUGGAGUUUUGAUCCACAUGGUGAAAAAUUUUACAAUUUUUUC